UACGAAGGGUGCUAGCGUUGUUCGGAAUUAUUGGGCGUAAAGCGUAUGUAGGCGGUUUGGUAAGUCAGUUGUGAAAGCCCCGAGCUUAACUUGGGAAUUGCAACCGAAACUACCUUGCUUGAAUUUGGUGGGGGAUAGUGGAAUUCUUAGUGUAGGGGUGAAAUCCGUAGAUAUUAAGAGGAACACCGGCGGCGAAAGCGACUAUCUACACCAACAUUGACGCUGAGAUACGAAAGCGUGGGGAGCAAACAGG
rnacentral:rRNA from 1 species